UCUGCAGACCGCCUUUAUCCCCCGGCCCCCAGCUCUCUGCAAACCGCCUUUAUCCCCCGGCCCCCAGCUCUCUGCAGGCCGCCUUUAUCCCCCGGCCCCCAGCUCUCUGCAGACCCCCUUUAUCCCCCGGCCCCCAGCUCUCUGCUGCUAACCUGCAUCUCACACUCACUGCUGCAGCUCUGAGUUACAGGCUCACACUGACUCUGCUGCUUCUGUCCUUCUGUCUUCAGGAGACGGGAAGCAAGUGGAGGCAGAGACGCCCCCUAGAGGUCAGUGUAGGUUUAUUUAAUGGAAAGGCUGACUCCCCAGCCUAGGUUUCCGUCUGUGUUUUAUCUGUGUCCAUGACGACGCACUCAGUGGCACUGUGACUGACAGCUUAGCACACAUGCUGAUUAAGUGAUAUGAAUAUGAUGGGAUGUUACAGGCUCCCUAAUGUAUGUGUGAGUGCAGCAUACAAACACACUGCUAGUGAUCAGAGAUGAUGGCUGUCAGAAUUAAACAGUCAGAAUUCUCACAGGAUCUGCUGGUUAGUUUCUCUUUUCCCUCUUGGAUCAGAUCCUGUUUGCAGGCCACACACAGAGAGAGAGAAGAUCCUCCAGCAGAGUUUUCAUGGGGAAGUGGAAACAGGUAGCUGAUGGCAAUCAGCGGCACCUGUGCCUGUGGGAGCCACUGCCCCUCCACCAGAGGAGGAGGAGGAGGAGGAGGGGGAGAGUGCAGCUGGAGGAGAACAGGCCCCAAGGCCAAGACAAAGCCAGAGACUGCCAGAGAGGAGGAGACCAAGCUCGGUCCCGCCACCAGCACAUCUGUACUCCUUGGUGGAAAUGCCUGACCCAAGAGGUCCCAGUGCAGACGGAGCAGCAAGGAUGGUGUAUGUCCAAUGCAACUGGGACCUGGCUGAGCUGAACGAGGUGGUCAACUCUCUCCCAGACCCACACGAAGUAGACAGAAACCGGUGUGGCACCUGGACAAUGUCUACCAGCCCAGUGGUAUCGAGUGGGUCCAAGUUUUACGUCACAUGCUGAAGGGUGAAUGGAGAGCAGUUCAAGGAAAUUUCGAAAGUGGCAGCGGGAACAAUGCCGGGUUCCUCACCUGGUGGACCGAGCUGGGUACUGAGUAAAGGAGAAAUACAAUGGAACCCAGAUUGGGGAAAGAUCCAAAAGGAGAAGCAAUGAGAAGGGGGGACUGUCACUCAGUGGGAACAGUGUCUGGACCAAGCCAUGUUGGAUUACUCAGGCAUCGAUGAUGAGGGAAAAUGAAAAGCAGCCAUGAAAACCCUCUUCAUGGCUGACUGAGACCAAAGAUCCAACAAAUGGUGAAAACCACCUGCAUCGAGUGGAAACAGUCAAACAUGGGCAAGAUCUGCCGUCAUGCCAUCCAUGCAGGGAACAGCGCAUAACAAUGGUUCUCAGAUUCGGUCCUCGGGACCCACUGCCCUGCUUGUUUUCCAGCUAUCCCUGCCCUACACACUGCUGAUUACCUGGAUCAGGUGUGUUCAGUCAAUUAGAAGCUGAAAGACAGCUGGGACUUGUGUGUGGGGCAGGGAUAGCAGGAAAACAAGCAGACUCUGCAAGAGACAAUCCCACUGCCUGUUGCCCCGCAAAACGGUAGAGAAGUGACACACGCAUUCCUUCUCCAUGAUGUCUGUCCUGUGACCCUGUUGGGAAGAGACCUAACGUGUAAGCUGGGAUGCAACAUAACGCGGAACAAAGAAGGUAUGGGGAUCACCUCACCCGCAUUAGGUCUCUUUCCCCUCCUACAUGAUCCGCCAGCCACGAGGGCUCCGACUUACAUCACCUGGACGCUGCGGGACAAUAUCAUUGGCCGAGACCUGGUUCCAGCGGGACAGCAACCUGCACCACGAUUCCAUUGUACAACUAUUUAUGUGGACAGUCCUACAUAACAUGAUCUGGAGAACAUGCAAGACUUUGUGAGAAAUGCAAGACUUUCUGUCCGCCUGGGUCACAUGUGUGCGGAGUUUGCAUGUUCUCCCCAUGUCGUCGUGGGGUUUCCUCCGGGUACUCCGGUUUCCCCCCACAGUCCGAAAACAUGCUGAGGCUAAUUGGAGUUUCUAAAUUGCCUGUAGGUGUGCAUGUGUGAAUGAAUGGUGUGUGCCCAAUAUUGGUCAUGCCACAAGACUAUACUGCAUCACCAAGCAUGUAUGUUCAGGAGCUAUAGACAAAUCUGAAACGUUUCUCUCCCUCAGGGGGAAGUACACUGGUGCAGUAUAUGGAUGAUUUGUUGCUGUGUGCAGAAACGAGAGAGAGUUGUGAGAGAGAUACGCGAGCGUUCUUGUUCUUUGCAGAGAAUGGACUUAAGGCCUCUAAAAGCAGCUGGUAAGAUCUGAAGUGCACUACUUGGGACACGUCCUGAACUCCCAGGGUAGAAAACUGGGAGCCUGGAAGUUAUCACCCAGGUACCAAGACUAAAAGGCAAAUGAAGUGGAUGGGCAUGAUUGGGUACUGCCAUCCAUGGAUGAACAGGAGAGAGGAUCAAGGGGACCAAACAACAGGGGGACACAUGGGACAAGGAACUGACAGGACAGGAUAGGGGGUGGCAAGGUGCGUGGUAAGGAAGAAUGCAUGGUAAGGGACUGGGACCCCACGAUGUGUUUGAAAGGACAGAUGAAAGCGAGCGGGCAUUCACUGAUCCAAAGCAGGCACUUUGUGAGACCCUGGCACUGGGGUCCCAUAUUACAAACAUCCAUUCCAAUUGUGUGCGGAUGAGAGAGGAGGAUUCAUGACUGCUGUCCUGGGGCAGGAGCAUGGGGGCCGAUUUAGACUGAUAGCUUACUAUUCCAGAAAAUUACAUGCUGUUGCGUGCUCCCUCCCUGCGUGUCUUCAAGCGGUGACUACCACCGCUGAGGCAGUUUUAAUGUCAUCAGAUCUAGUGCAAAUGCAUUCUUUCCGUGUUCGAAAUUCUCAUGCAGUGCAUGCCAUUCUGACUCAGGCGAAAACUUCCCAUUUGACUGCUGCUAGACUGACAAUAUCAGAAUGUUCUGCUGACUUUAGCAAAUGUGACGAUAGAAAGGUGUGGUACAGUAAACCCUGCUACACUGCUCCCCACUGAGAUGGAAAGAUGCGAUCAUUGAAGUGACUCAGGCAUUGGCAAAGCCUAGGGAGGAUUUAGACGAGGAGUCCUUAACAGAGGGAGACUCAGUUUUUGUGGAUGGGUGCUCACUCCGGCUGGAGAAUGGGAAGCCCUCCAUAUCACGACUGAUUGUCAGACCAAAAUGGGGAAUUGAUAGAAGGGGGGGAGUUUCCAAGGACGUGGUCCUCGCAGGCUGCUGAACUGUUUGCUCUGACCCAGGUGUACAGGAGAAUGAGGAACCAGAAUAAUUAUUUUUACAGACUCGAGGUAUGCAUUUGGAGUGUGUCAUGACCACAGGGCACUGUGGAAACAGAGAGGAUUCCUCAUGAGUUCAGGCAAACCUAUUCAACAUCAUUCUCUCGUGGCAGGAUCUCUUCCAAUCUAUUCAACUACCAAAACAAUUGGCCAUAGUAAAAUGCAAAGCACACACCAAACAAACAGAUAAAGUGAGUGUGGGAAAUGACUGGGCCAACUGGCGGGCAUAGAAAGCCGCCACAGACCCAGAGGCCCCAGUUAAGAUGAUGCUGAGCACUGUUACUGACCCCACUGACCUCUCUCUCCUACAGACAAGGGCAAUGCCAGAGGAGAGAGCGGGUUGCAAACGGAAAGCUGGUGUGCAAGGAAGUGAUGGGGUUCCACGGUUAUUGGAUAAAUGCACCAAAAUCGUCACUUACAGGGAAGCUCAGCGUCUCUGGGAGUGAAUGGAGUAGUCGGCUGGCCAGGAUGCUGGGCUGCUGCAUGAUGAUUGGAGGAGCUGUCUAAAGGGCGGAACCACUUUUGAUUGACAGCAUGUUUUAAGUAUAUACCGCCGCUACAGAGAUUCAAGUUCAGUCCCAUGCGGAUUUGCAGGUGAAGGCGUAAGACAAACGGCUGCACUCUGUGUUGUUUGCUGGUGAUAUAAGCCAUUUUUGUUUAUACAAAUCAUUCUUUAAAUAAAAAAAAAUAUUAUUGCA